rnacentral:rRNA from 1 species
UACGUAGGGUGCAAGCGUUGUCCGGAUUCAUUGGGCGUAAAGAGCGUGUAGGCGGCCAGGCAGGUCUGUUGUGAAAACUGGAGGCUCAACUUCCAGACGUCGACAGAAACCGCUUGGCUAGAGUCCGGAAGAGGAGAGUGGAAUUCCUGGUGUAGCGGUGAAAUGCGCAGAUAUCAGGAAGAACACCGAUGGCGAAGGCAGCUCUCUGGGACGGUACUGACGCUGAGACGCGAAAGCGUGGGGAGCGAACAGG